rnacentral:rRNA from 1 species
GAUGAACGCUGGCGGCGUGCCUAAUACAUGCAAGUCGAGCGAACAGACGAGGAGCUUGCUCCUCUGACGUUAGCGGCGGACGGGUGAGUAACACGUGGAUAACCUACCUAUUAGACUGGGAUAACUUCGGGAAACCGGAGCUAAUACCGGAUAAUAUAUUGAACCGCAUGGUUCAAUAGUGAAAGACGGUUUUGCUGUCACUUAUAGAUGGAUCCGCGCCGCAUUAGCUAGUUGGUAAGGUAACGGCUUACCAAGGCGACGAUGCGUAGCCGACCUGAGAGGGUGAUCGGCCACACUGGAACUGAGACACGGUCCAGACUCCUACGGGAGGCAGCAGUAGGGAAUCUUCCGCAAUGGGCGAAAGCCUGACGGAGCAACGCCGCGUGAGUGAUGAAGGUCUUCGGAUCGUAAAACUCUGUUAUUAGGGAAGAACAAAUGUGUAAGUAACUAUGCACGUCUUGACGGUACCUAAUCAGAAAGCCACGGCUAACUACGUG